rnacentral:rRNA from 1 species
UAUGUAGGGUGCAAGCGUUAAUCGGAAUUACUGGGCGUAAAGCGUGCGCAGGCGGUUUUGUAAGUCUGUCGUGAAAGCCCCGGGCUUAACCUGGGAAUUGCGAUGGAGACUGCAAGGCUUGAAUCUGGCAGAGGGGGGUAGAAUUCCACGUGUAGCAGUGAAAUGCGUAGAGAUGUGGAGGAACACCGAUGGCGAAGGCAGCCCCCUGGGUCAAGAUUGACGCUCAUGCACGAAAGCGUGGGGAGCAAACAGG